rnacentral:rRNA from 1 species
ACUCCUACGGGAGGCAGCAGUGGGGAAUCUUGGACAAUGGGGGCAACCCUGAUCCAGCCAUGCCGCGUGAGUGAUGAAGGCCUUAGGGUCGUAAAGCUCUUUCGCCUGUGAAGAUAAUGACGGUAGCAGGUAAAGAAACCCCGGCUAACUCCGUGCCAGCAGCCGCGGUAAUACGGAGGGGGUUUAGCGUUUGUUUCGGAAUUUACUGGGCGUAAAGCGCACGUAGGCGGAUCGGAAAGUUGGGGUGAAAUCCCGGGCUCAACCCCGGAACGGCCUCCAAAACUAUCGGUCUAGAGUUCGAGAGAGGUGAGUGGAAUUCCGAGUGUAGAGGUGAAAUUCGUAGAUAUUCGGAGGAACACCAGUGGCGAAGGCGGCUCACUGGCUCGAUACUGACGCUGAGGUGCGAAAGUGUGGGAGCAAACAGGAUUAGAUACCCUGGUAGGACAGUG